CUGAAAACACCGGUUCUCGUCCGAACACCGAAGUUAAGCAGUAUCGAGUCCGGUCAGUACUUAGAUGCAGAUCGCUUGGUCAUACCAGGGUACUGUA